rnacentral:misc_RNA from 1 species
GCUGCUGCCAGGAAAUAAGCAAAUAGGAGCUCUCUCUUGCUUAUACCAAAAUCUCCCAAGUUGCAUCCUUCAUACCACUUUUGAAAAUUGUCCCAUUCAACGCGAUGCAAUGCUUGGCAACUGUUGUAGUCAAGUCUUGCGAGCUGGAGGUACUCAUUGUUGUUCACAUAUGGCAUCCUGUAAAGAGUCUUGCCAAUCCAUACAUCAUCUUCGCCGCCAUACUGUUCUAAAUAGAAUCUCGCCUCCACUCGAGGCAAGUUCGCGUACCAA